ACUCAAAUGAAUAGACGGGGGCCCGCACAAGCGGAGGAACAUGUGGUUUAAUUCGAUGAUACGCGAGGAACCUUACCCGGGCUCGAACGGCAGAUGUAUUUGGUGGAGACAUCAAAGUCCGCAAGGACAUCUGUCGAGGUGCUGCAUGGUUGUCGUCAGCUCGUGCCGUGAGGUGUCGGCUUAAGUGCCAUAACGAGCGCAACCCUUACCGUUAGUUACCAUCAGGUUAUGCUGGGGACUCUAGCGGGACUGCCACCGUAAGGUGUGAGGAAGGUGGGGAUGACGUCAAAUCAGCACGGCCCUUACGUCCGGGGCUACACACGUGUUACAAUGGGGGGUACAAAGGGCAGCUACCUGGUGACAGGAUGCUAAUCUCCAAAACCCCUCCCAGUUCGGAUCGGAGUCUGCAACCCGACUCCGUGAAGCUGGAUUCGCUAGUAAUCGCGCAUCAGCCAUGGCGCGGUGAAUACGUUCCCGGGCCUUGUACACACCGCCCGU
rnacentral:rRNA from 1 species